rnacentral:rRNA from 1 species
UCCAGAGUUUGAUCAUGGCUCAGAUUGAACGCUGGCGGCAGGCCUAACACAUGCAAGUCGAGCGGUAGCACAGAGAGCUUGCUCUCGGGUGACGAGCGGCGGACGGGUGAGUAAUGUCUGGGAAACUGCCUGAUGGAGGGGGAUAACUACUGGAAACGGUAGCUAAUACCGCAUAACGUCGCAAGACCAAAGUGGGGGACCUUCGGGCCUCAUGCCAUCAGAUGUGCCCAGAUGGGAUUAGCUAGUAGGUGGGGUAACGGCUCACCUAGGCGACGAUCCCUAGCUGGUCUGAGAGGAUGACCAGCCACACUGGAACUGAGACACGGUCCAGACUCCUACGGGAGGCAGCAGUGGGGAAUAUUGCACAAUGGGCGCAAGCCUGAUGCAGCCAUGCCGCGUGUGUGAAGAAGGCCUUCGGGUUGUAAAGCACUUUCAGCGGGGAGGAAGGCGGUGAGGUUAAUAACCUCAUCGAUUGACGUUACCCGCAGAAGAAGCACCGGCUAACUCCGUGCCAGCAGCCGCGGUAAUACGGAGGGUGCAAGCGUUAAUCGGAAUUACUGGGCGUAAAGCGCACGCAGGCGGUCUGUCAAGUCGGAUGUGAAAUCCCCGGGCUCAACCUGGGAACUGCAUUCGAAACUGGCAGGCUAGAGUCUUGUAGAGGGGGGUAGAAUUCCAGGUGUAGCGGUGAAAUGCGUAGAGAUCUGGAGGAAUACCGGUGGCGAAGGCGGCCCCCUGGACAAAGACUGACGCUCAGGUGCGAAAGCGUGGGGAGCAAACAGGAUUAGAUACCCUGGUAGUCCACGCUGUAAACGAUGUCGAUUUGGAGGUUGUGCCCUUGAGGCGUGGCUUCCGGAGCUAACGCGUUAAAUCGACCGCCUGGGGAGUACGGCCGCAAGGUUAAAACUCAAAUGAAUUGACGGGGGCCCGCACAAGCGGUGGAGCAUGUGGUUUAAUUCGAUGCAACGCGAAGAACCUUACCUGGUCUUGACAUCCACAGAACUUUCCAGAGAUGGAUUGGUGCCUUCGGGAACUGUGAGACAGGUGCUGCAUGGCUGUCGUCAGCUCGUGUUGUGAAAUGUUGGGUUAAGUCCCGCAACGAGCGCAACCCUUAUCCUUUGUUGCCAGCGGUCCGGCCGGGAACUCAAAGGAGACUGCCAGUGAUAAACUGGAGGAAGGUGGGGAUGACGUCAAGUCAUCAUGGCCCUUACGACCAGGGCUACACACGUGCUACAAUGGCAUAUACAAAGAGAAGCGACCUCGCGAGAGCAAGCGGACCUCAUAAAGUAUGUCGUAGUCCGGAUUGGAGUCUGCAACUCGACUCCAUGAAGUCGGAAUCGCUAGUAAUCGUAGAUCAGAAUGCUACGGUGAAUACGUUCCCGGGCCUUGUACACACCGCCCGUCACACCAUGGGAGUGGGUUGCAAAAGAAGUAGGUAGCUUAACCUUCGGGAGGGCGCUUACCACUUUGUGAUUCAUGACUGGGGUGAAGUCGUAACAAGGGUAACC